CAUGGCUCAGGACGAACGCUGGCGGCGUGCUUAACACAUGCAAGUCGAACGAUGAACCACUUCGGUGGGGAUUAGUGGCGAACGGGUGAGUAACACGUGGGCAAUCUGCCCUUCACUCUGGGACAAGCCCUGGAAACGGGGUCUAAUACCGGAUACUGACCGGCCUGGGCAUCCAGGCGGGUCGAAAGCUCCGGCGGUGAAGGAUGAGCCCGCGGCCUAUCAGCUUGUUGGUGAGGUAAUGGCUCACCAAGGCGACGACGGGUAGCCGGCCUGAGAGGGCGACCGGCCACACUGGGACUGAGACACGGCCCAGACUCCUACGGGAGGCAGCAGUGGGGAAUAUUGCACAAUGGGCGAAAGCCUGAUGCAGCGACGCCGCGUGAGGGAUGACGGCCUUCGGGUUGUAAACCUCUUUCAGCAGGGAAGAAGCGA
rnacentral:rRNA from 1 species